rnacentral:rRNA from 1 species
AGGUUAAAAAGCUCGUAGUUGAAUUUCGGGGUCAGCAGGUUGGUCGUGCCUCUGGUACGCACUGGUUUCGCUGAUUCCUCCUUUCUGAAGAACUGUAAUGUCAUUAAUUUGGUGUUGCAGGGAAACAGAACUGUUACUUUGAAAAAAUUAGAGUGUUUAAAGCAGGCUCACGCUUGAAUACAUUAGCAUGGAAUAAUGAAAUAGGACGUUUGAUUCUAUUUUGUUGGUUUCUAGGAUCGACGUAAUGAUUAAUAGGGAUAGUUGGGGGCAUUAGUAUUCAAUUGUCGGAGGUGAAAUUCUUGGAUUUAUUGAAGACUAACUACUGCGAAAGCAUUUGCCA